GACGGGGGGUCCUAGCGUUGUUCGGAAUCAUUGGGCGUAAAGCGUGUGCAGGUGGUUUGGUAAGUUGGAUGUGAAAGCCUUGGGCUUAACCCAAGAAGUGCAUUCAAAACUCCCAAACUUGAGUAGGGAAGAGGGUCGUGGAAUUCCAGGUGUAGUGGUGAAAUACGUAGAUAUCUGGAGGAACACCGGUGGCGAAGGCGGCGACCUGGUCCUAUACUGACACUCAUACACGAAAGCGUGGGGAUCAAACAGG
rnacentral:rRNA from 1 species